rnacentral:rRNA from 1 species
UACGUAGGGGGCUAGCGUUGUCCGGAAUCAUUGGGCGUAAAGAGCUCGUAGGCGGCUUGUCACGUCGGAUGUGAAAGCCCGGGGCUUAACCCCGGGUCUGCAUUCGAUACGGGCAGGCUAGAGUGUGGUAGGGGAGAUCGGAAUUCCUGGUGUAGCGGUGAAAUGCGCAGAUAUCAGGAGGAACACCGGUGGCGAAGGCGGAUCUCUGGGCCAUUACUGACGCUGAGGAGCGAAAGCGUGGGGAGCGAACAGG